CGGCGUGCUUAACACAUGCAAGUCGAACGGAAAGGCCCUGCUUUUGUGGGGUGCUCGAGUGGCGAACGGGUGAGUAACACGUGAGUAACCUGCCCUUGACUUUGGGAUAACUUCAGGAAACUGGGGCUAAUACCGGAUAGGAGCUCCUGCUGCAUGGUGGGGGUUGGAAAGUUUCGGCGGUUGGGGAUGGACUCGCGGCUUAUCAGCUUGUUGGUGGGGUAGUGGCUUACCAAGGCUUUGACGGGUAGCCGGCCUGAGAGGGUGACCGGCCACAUUGGGACUGAGAUACGGCCCAGACUCCUACGGGAGGCAGCAGUGGGGAAUAUUGCGCAAUGGGCGGAAGCCUGAUGCAGCAACGCCGCGUGCGGGAUGACGGCCUUCGGGUUGUAAACCGCUUUCGCCUGUGACGAAGCGUGAGUGACGGUAAUGGGUAAAGAAGCACCGGCUAACUACGUGCCAGCAGCCGCGGUGAUACGUAGGGUGCGAGCGUUGUCCGGAUUUAUUGGGCGUAAAGGGCUCGUAGGUGGUUGAUCGCGUCGGAAGUGUAAUCUUGGGGCUUAACCCUGAGCGUGCUUUCGAUACGGGUUGACUUGAGGAAGGUAGGGGAGAAUGGAAUUCCUGGUGGAGCGGUGGAAUGCGCAGAUAUCAGGAGGAACACCAGUGGCGAAGGCGGUUCUCUGGGCCUUUCCUGACGCUGAGGAGCGAAAGCGUGGGGAGCGAACAGGCUUAGAUACCCUGGUAGUCCACGCUGUAAACGGUGGGUACUAGGUGUGGGGUCCAUUCCACGGGUUCCGUGCCGUAGCUAACGCUUUAAGUACCCCGCCUGGGGAGUACGGCCGCAAGGCUAAAACUCAAAGGAAUUGACGGGGCCCCGCACAAGCGGCGGAGCAUGCGGAUUAAUUCGAUGCAACGCGUAGAACCUUACCUGGGUUUGACAUGGAUCGGGAGUGCUCAGAGAUGGGUGUGCCUCUUUUGGGGUCGGUUCACAGGUGGUGCAUGGCUGUCGUCAGCUCGUGUCGUGAGAUGUUGGGUUAAGUCCCGCAACGAGCGCAACCCUUGUUCACUGUUGCCAGCACGUUAUGGUGGGGACUCAGUGGAGACCGCCGGGGUCAACUCGGAGGAAGGUGGGGAUGACGUCAAGUCAUCAUGCCCCUUAUGUCCAGGGCUUCACGCAUGCUACAAUGGCUGGUACAGAGAGUGGCGAGCCUGUGAGGGUGAGCGAAUCUCGGAAAGCCGGUCUCAGUUCGGAUUGGGGUCUGCAACUCGACCUCAUGAAGUCGGAGUCGCUAGUAAUCGCAGAUCAGCAACGCUGCGGUGAAUACGUUCCCGGGGCUUGUACACACCGCCCGUCAAGUCAUGAAAGUUGGUAACACCCGAAGCCGGUGGCCUAACCGUUGUGGGGGAGCCGUCGAAGGUGGGACUGGUGAUUAGGACUAAGUCAUAACAAG
rnacentral:rRNA from 1 species